rnacentral:rRNA from 1 species
GACGUAGGGCGCGAGCGUUGUCCGGAUUUAUUGGGCGUAAAGAGCUCGUAGGCGGCUUGUCGCGUCGACCGUGAAAACUUGGGGCUCAACCCCAAGCCUGCGGUCGAUACGGGCAGGCUAGAGUUCGGUAGGGGAGACUGGAAUUCCUGGUGUAGCGGUGAAAUGCGUAGAUAUCAGGAGGAACACCGGUGGCGAAGGCGGGUCUCUGGGCCGAUACUGACGCUUAGGAGCGAAAGCGUGGGGAGCGAACAGG